rnacentral:rRNA from 1 species
CAGCAGCCACGGUAAUACGAAGGGUGCAAGCGUUAAUCGGAAUUACUGGGCGUAAAGCGUGCGUAGGCGGUUUGUUAAGUCUGUUGUGAAAUCCCCGGGCUCAACCUGGGAAUGGCAAUGGAUACUGGCAAGCUAGAGUGUGUCAGAGGAUGGUGGAAUUCCCGGUGUAGCGGUGAAAUGCGUAGAGAUCGGGAGGAACAUCAGUGGCGAAGGCGGCCAUCUGGGACAACACUGACGCUGAGGCACGAAAGCGUGGGGAGCAGACAGGAUUAGAUACCCCAGUAGUCCCUGUCUCUUAUAC